AGUGAACGCUGGCGGCAGGCCUAACACAUGCAAGUCGAACGGCAGCACAGAGGAGCUUGCUCCUUGGGUGGCGAGUGGCGGACGGGUGAGGAAUACAUCGGAAUCUGCCCAAUCGUGGGGGAUAACGUAGGGAAACUUACGCUAAUACCGCAUACGACCCCAUAUCGAAGGGUGUGGGGUGAAAGCGUGGGACCGCAAGGCCACGCGCGAUUGGAUGAGCCGAUGCGGAUUAGCUUGUUGGCGGGGUAAAGGCCCACCAAGGCGACGAUCCGUAGCUGGUCUGAGAGGAUGAUCAGCCACACUGGAACUGAGACACGGUCCAGACUCCUACGGGAGGCAGCAGUGGGGAAUAUUGGACAAUGGGCGCAAGCCUGAUCCAGCCAUGCCGCGUGUGUG
rnacentral:rRNA from 1 species